rnacentral:lncRNA from 1 species
AAGGAGCAACAGGUCACAUCCUCAUGGGGCACAAGGACUUCCGGGGAUAGAUUUCUAGGCAAACGUGGCUUUUGAUGAAGGUAGGUCAGAAAUGUAGCUGUGUUCUGAAGCACACGACCCUGAAUCCUCCAGUUCUUAAGAUACUCAGAGCUGAGCAGAUGGAUUCUAACAACAAGAGUCUGUCCUGACUCUUGUCCAACUGGCCUUAGACAUUAUCAGUCUCCUCCAGGGUGAAAGGCAAGGGCUGCAUUUUCUCUGCCUUAAUAGAUAUUUCUCUCCUCCCAGCUCUCAGGGCAGGUUGCUUGAAGCCCCUAUAGAUUCUUUCUGUGUGUGUGUGUGUGUGUGUGUGUGUGUGUGUGUGUGUGUGUGUGUGUGUCUUCUUCUCCCUCCCUGUGAAAAAUGUAAGCUCCUCUCAUGAGAUUUCAACCUUAAAUAUACCCUCCUCAGCAUAUAGAGUGUGCAAAAUUUAAAUAUGGAGGAAAAUCACAUUCACCAAAAUCAAGUGUUAGUUUCUUGAAAAUCCUUCCAUUAAAGCAAUCAUCAGGAGAUGAUUAAUAUCAACUCAGGUUUCCUUGGUUAAUAUCAACUCAGGUUUAAGAAGCCCAUAUCAAAGUUCCCUUACAAUUUUAGGAUUUAGAAAAUUAAAGUGGAAAAAAAAUUCCCGGGGAAAAUGUGUUAGAUUUUACUGAGCCCCAAAUAUCUGGAAAACAGUUUGAGAUCCUUGGCCAAACUUAGAGCUCUGGCUAGAUUUUCAUACCCCUGCUAUUGACAGCUAAUUUCUUGAGCAAAUUUAUUCGCUGUUUGUGAAAAAAAUAUUGGCAGCCUGGAGCCAUCUCAGAUGUGCAGCCUGUUCAGAAAUUCCUGAGUUCAACUUUCUGAAGCAUGUCUGUUUCCUUCUUAGCUCUUAAAGAACAUUCUCGCAACAUGACUGAUUAUUUGUCUGUGACCUUUCACUGGAGGGCACAGAGAUGGAUCAACCCUGCCUUUUUUCUGAAGAUAAGGCAAAAGGCUUUAUCUCUGACACAACCUUAUUUCUCAAUUUUUUUUUGUGUGUGUGUGUGUCAGAGGGAAGAAAAAGCUUCUACUCUUCUGAUUUUUGUGUAA